GUUAUCAGGCAUUUAAAUCUGUUUAACGCUUCUUGAGCAGCUUCGGAAAAGCUGGUGAAUGCUACUUUUGAAACAUUUAUACCAGGCUUCCAUUUUUGCUAAUUUGUUCAGAUUUAGAGAGAAUGUUUGAAGAUGAUUGUGGCAUGCGGGAGAAGGAGCCCUUUUCUCUUACCAGAGCUAAUUAUACAGAGAAGAAGCAGUAGAGCAGGGUGGGAGUAUGCCACCGCAAAGACCAGCG